rnacentral:rRNA from 1 species
AUUGAACGCUGGCGGCAGGCCUAACACAUGCAAGUCGAGCGGAUGAAGGGAGCUUGCUCCUGGAUUCAGCGGCGGACGGGUGAGUAAUGCCUAGGAAUCUGCCUGGUAGUGGGGGAUAACGUCCGGAAACGGGCGCUAAUACCGCAUACGUCCUGAGGGAGAAAGUGGGGGAUCUUCGGACCUCACGCUAUCAGAUGAGCCUAGGUCGGAUUAGCCAGUUGGUGGGGUAAAGGCCUACCAAGGCGACGAUCCGUAACUGGUCUGAGAGGAUGAUCAGUCACACUGGAACUGAGACACGGUCCAGACUCCUAAGGGAGGCAGCAGUGGGGAAUAUUGGACAAUGGGCGAAAGCCUGAUCCAGCCAUGCCGCGUGUGUGAAGAAGGUCUUCGGAUUGUAAAGCACUUUAAGUUGGGAGGAAGGGCAGUAAGUUAAUACCUUGCUGUUUUGACGUUACCAACAGAAUAAGCACCGGCUAACUUCGUG